GAAUAUGAAGGAAAACUGGCUGUGACAGCUGUCAACACAUUGAUUUCCAGCAUUGAUACAGAUGGUCUGAGCUGAUCCCUGGUCUCCCUUAUCACUUCAAUUGUGUCUCUUCCAGAGCUAUGUGCUUAUUCAAAGAGGACCAGUCAUGAAGGGUAUUUUAAAAGUACAUUCCCUUUGUAUAAUUUCCAGGCAUGUUUACACCAUUCAAAGGUAAAUCUGUAGAACAUAAAUAUGUAGAAUAAAUAGACACAUUUUGGUUGUGUGUCCUUUUUC
rnacentral:snRNA from 1 species